AUUGAACGCUGGCGGCAGGCCUAACACAUGCAAGUCGAACGAGUGGCGGACGGGUGAGUAAUGUCUGGGAAACUGCCUGAUGGAGGGGGAUAACUACUGGAAACGGUAGCUAAUACCGCAUACCAUCAGAUGUGCCCAGAUGAGAUUAGCUAGUUGGUGGGGUAACGGCUCACCAAGGCGACGAUCCCUAGCUGGUCUGAGAGGAUGACCAGCCAAACUGGAACUGCGACACGGGCCAGACUCCUACGGGGGGCAACAGUGGGGAAUAUUGCAUAAUGGGUGCAAGCCUGGUGCAGCCAUGCCGCGUGUAUGAAGAAGGCCUUGGGAGUGUAAAGGACGUUCAGCGGGGAGGCGUUACACGCAGAAGAAGCACCGGCUAACUCAUUGCCAGCAGCCGCGGUAAUAC
rnacentral:rRNA from 1 species